ensembl:lncRNA
CAGUCCUCCUGUGUGUAUAAAAGUUAGACUUGCUCAGUUUUAGAAAUCUGCCCUAUGUUUCCCCUUGUCAGAAAAACAGCAGCCAAAACAGGGUACUGGGUACACAGCAGGCACCCACAGACACUGUUUGUUUUAGCGCAGGUUGGCAUCACUAAAUACCAUUGACUGGGCAGCUUAAACAGCAGACGCGCACUUUCCACAGUUCUAGAAGCUGGGAAGGCCAAGAUCAAGGUGGGGGCCACUUAGGUCCUGCAUGAAAUCUCUCCUGGCUUGCAGAUGACUGCCUUCUCGCUAUGUCCUCACAUGACCUUUCCUGGGUGUGUGCAGGUUCCACCUCCAAAUACCAUCAUGGGAUGAGUUACAGCUUCCGCCUAUGAAUGUGAGGGAACACAAGCCUUCACUCCAUGGUCGCGUUGAUGACUAGUGGUGGCACGGUCAGCCCUAUGCUGGUGAAGGUAGGAGGGAAAGGAACCCGAAGUUAGAAGACAAAAGAAACGAUGGGCUGGCAUGCAGAGUGAAGACUUAAGGCACCUUAGAAUAAAAGCCAAGGCACCAGAAACUAUGGAGAAAAAGGCAGUUGCAACCCCAGGAACCAGG